rnacentral:rRNA from 1 species
UACGGGGGGGGCAAGCGUUGUUCGGAAUUACUGGGCGUAAAGGGCUCGUAGGCGGCCAACUAAGUCAGACGUGAAAUCCCUCGGCUUAACCGGGGAACUGCGUCUGAUACUGGUUGGCUUGAAUCCGGGAGAGGGAUGUGGAAUUCCAGGUGUAGCGGUGAAAUGCGUAGAUAUCUGGAGGAACACCAAUGGCGAAGGCAGCUCGCUGGGACGUUACUGACGCUGAGACGCGAAAGCGUGGGGAGCAAACAGG